ACAUUCUACUCCAGAAACAGUGUCCGAACUGCUUGAAUUGGUCCAUUUUAAUCUACUCCUAUUUGGUCAAACUACCCUUCAUCAGAUGAAAAUGGGAUAAACUGAGGGCUUGUCCACUUGGAGGUUCAUCAGACUGUCAUUCUACUAACGAUCCUUCUCCAUGUAAACUAGAAUAUCUACAUAUGAGGUCUGUUUUCCCCCUUCUGUGCUUCUGAGGAAGAGGCAGAUCAAUAAAAAGAUGAAUGCAACACUUAUUAUUAAAUGGGCCACUGGAUGCAGUUACCAUUCUCUUCUUCACAUCACCUGAGGGCGCAAAGAAAAAAAUAUCUGCUGUGAACUCCACAUGGCGUCAGGAAGAGCAUCUGGCCAGUAAAUGCUCAGCUCCAUCCAGUUGCCCCAACUCUAUCUCCAAUUAAGGGAUUACAGGGUCGUAUAAAGAGAGUAUUUAGCUGCUAAUCUGAUGAAUAUGAUUUUGGGAAGCAUGUGAUAAACAACCAGUUAAAACAAUUAAAACAGCAGUUAAAAUGAUGGGAUGGA